rnacentral:rRNA from 2 species
CGGCGGCGGUCUACUCAUGCAGUCGAGCGGACCUCUUCGGAGGGCACCGGCGGAGGGGUGAGUAACGGGUGGGCCCCCUGCCUGUAAGACUGGGAUAACUCCGGGAAACCGGAGCUAAUACCGGAUACUAUGUCAAACCGCAGGGUUUGAAAUUAAAGGACGGUUUCGGCUGUCCUUUACGGAGGGGCCCGCGGCGCAUUAGCUAGUUGGUGAGGUAAUGGCUCACCAAGGCGACGAUCCGUAGCCGACCUGAGAGGGUGAUCGGCCACACUGGGACUGAAACACGGCCCAUACUCCUACGGAAGGCAGCAGUGGGGAAUCUUCCGCAAUGGACGAAAGUCUGACGGAGCAACGCCGCGUGAGUGAUGAAGGUUUUCGGAUCGUAAAACUCUGUUGUCAGGGAAGAACAUGUGCCGGAGUAACUGCCGGCGCCUUGACGGUACCUGACCAAAAAGCCCCGGCUAACUGCGUGCCAGCAGCCGCGGUAAUACUUAGGUGGCAAGCGUUGUCCGGAAUUAUUGGGCGUAAAGCGCGCGCAGGCGGUUUCUUAAUUUUGAUGUGAAAGCCCCCGGCUCAACCGGGGAGGGUCAUUGGAAACUGGGAAACUUGAGUGCGGAACAGGAGAGUGGAAUUCCACGUGUAGCGCUGAUAUGCGUACAGAUGUGAAGGAACACCAGUGGCGAAGGCGACUCUCUGGUCUGUAACUGACGCUGAGGCGCGAAAGCGGGUGGAGCGAACAGGAUUUAAUACUCUGUACUCAACGCCGUAACGAUGAUUGCUACUUGUUAGAGCGCUUCCGACCAUUAGUGCUGCAGCUAACGCAUGAGUCACUCCGCUGGGGAGUACGGUCGCAUGACUGAAACUCAACGCACUGAACGGUGCCCGUCAUAGCGUCGAGCAUGUGCUUAGUCGAAGACAUCGGUUAGAUCUGUAACCGAGC